AGAUUCUGUGAACUUUCUAAGCAUCCUCUCUCAAAUUUCCUUUCAGCGUAAAAGAAGGGGCACAGGGACCACAGGACAGGAAACCGCAGAAGAUGCUGGCCUGGGAUGCAGGAGACAUGGAAGAGGAGAGUCGGGGGAGGGGAAGAGCCGGAUAGGCAAUCUGUUCGGAAGCUAGCAAGCAAAGGAGCGGGGGAUUCCAGGAUGAGGGAGGCAGAGCCGUUCGUCUGCGUAAGAUUGAUGUCUGUGUCCUUGGAACAGAGUGAGUAGUCUCCUGAGGGCCCGCGGGAGUAUAGCAGAAGACCCCGAAGCUAAGAAAAAUUAGUCUGUAUAAGGGGGUGCCGGGGUGAUUUCCCAAUGGGUGAGACUGAAGCUACGAAGCAGUGGGGAACUGGGUGGGGAAAUGACCGAGCGACGACGGGAUAAAGGGGUGGGGGUAGUGGGGGCAAGUGAGGACAGCAGGUGAGUAAAA
rnacentral:lncRNA from 1 species